rnacentral:lncRNA from 1 species
AUUCUGAUGCUAGACCACUUCAAGGUACUGCUAUCUCGGGUCUCGGUGGUAGGGCGCUAUCUACGGAGCUACGCCCUGUCCUCGCGCCGCCGCGCCGCUCACGUGCUAACAUGUACCCCCAAAACAACACGGGGGUGAGAACUAUAUAAAUAUAGUUCCCAGUGGGUACGGCCACCCAAGGGAAGAGCUUGACCCACCAGGUCCAAAGGAGGCAACUGCAGGUUAGUAAACUGAACAGAUAGAUAGAUAUUCGAUGAUACAAUUAAUAAAACCAUACCUUGCCUCGCGAUAUGCAAUAUGUAAAUCAUGCAACUAUGUAACAAGUAGAUCUACCGAUCCUACUUUAUAUCUUUAACCAUUCUUUACUUGUAGCCGUUCUUUAUUAGCUAUUUAUGUUCAUUAACUAUUCUUAUUCUUAUUCUUUAUUCUUUAUCAUAUUGUGCUCACUGGCGAUUCUUUCCUAAGGUUACUUUAUCUUAGUCAUCUAGCCACCCGACUCGGUCUUGAGUCAAUCAAUCGCGGAUAGUCCGCGCACUGUCUAGCUCGAGGUGAAGGAACUCUCACAUGCACCUCAGCUAGCAACAGCUCACCGUACUCCUGUCCUAGCCGUCUGGUGGCGAACAAUCGCACCUCACCCAACAACAGCCUAGGUCUAUGACUUAGCCACCCGGCGGCGAAAUCGUCGCACACGCCACGACAGUGGUUCAGUCAAUAGGCGGUAGGAUCCACAACUGGCUAACCAUCCGGCGGCGAAAUCGUCGCACACGCCACGACAAUGGUUCAAGCCUCCGGGUGGUGGACACUGCGCACACACCCAAUCCUGCCUUGGUAUCAAUCUCGGCGGCGAAAUCGUCGCACACGCCCUAGCCUUGAUACCAAGGUCAUCAUAGAUCUUGGGAUUCCGGAAUCCAUUUCACGACUUGAGGGUUUACUCACUUUUUCCCUAUAUUGACGACCCUCCUAGGUCGAAGCCAAUCCUUUCCUAGUGGUCACUAUACCACUAAAAUUCACAACUUAGUUCAAUUAUACUAAGUCUUACUAUACAUCAUUGCUAAGUUCAAUGUCAAUGUCAUUUUACCUAGAACUCAACUCUAGGUUUAUUUACUUGACCUAUGUCCAAUGACACUAGGUUUAUGUCCGACCUAUGUUCACGAACACUAGGUUCAUUUCAUGUCCAACCUAUGUUUAAUAACACUAGGUUCAUGCCACUCGAUCUAUUUGUAAGUUAUUGAUCCCGAGGAUCUAAAAGGUAAGUAACACCUAGAGGGGGGUGAAUAGGUGUAAAUCCGGCAAACUCGAAAAAUCUCGAUGCAAACAAACACAAUAGCGGAAAUUAAAAUAGCACACCGAGAAUUUAACGUGGGAAAACUCCAAUUCGGAGUGAAAAACCCACGGGACCGAUCACGCAAAGAAAAUCCACUAAGAAAACUUGAGUACAAGUGAUUUCGACCAAAAACACGCGACUCAAUUUACCGAUUUCUUGUUGACGGUGAUCUUUGCCGGUCCUCGAUCGAUAGGAAUCCACCAAUCGACCUUGCUGCAACUCCUCGCAGCGUCAACGCCUCAACUCCUCGAAACGUCCACCGAAUCCUCAGCUUCGCGCGAGAUCCACGCGCCGAACCUCCUUCCGGAGCUUGUAGAAUCGAAGAUUUGCGGUGAUUCAACUUUUGAAAACCAUAAGCUAUGAGGGUUCACCUUUAAUCAAUCAUCUACUUGAUUCUCGUAAGAAAUUUUGAGUAAAAACGAAGAAUCAAGCCGAUGUUGAUUGCUAGAAACUCAUCAUGUAAAUCGAAGCGAAGAAAACGAGUUUCUAGGGUUUGGAAUUGGUAAAAUAUUCAAAAGCCUUAAUUUUAGACGACCCACAUAGCUUAUUUAUAUGUUUAGAAGACUUAGAAGUAGACUAGGAUUGCAAAAAGUCGAUUUCAAAAAUCUGUGUCGUCCUCAGAGACCGGUCCUGUCGAGGAGACCGGUCUGUGAGAGACCGGUCUCUCAAGUGAGGAACCGGUCCCU